rnacentral:rRNA from 1 species
UCCAGACUCCUACGGGAGGCAGCAGUGGGGAAUAUUGCACAAUGGGGGAAACCCUGAUGCAGCAACGCCGCGUGAGUGAAGAAGUAUUUCGGUAUGUAAAGCUCUCUCAGCAGGGAAGAAGAUGACGGUACCUGAAUAAGAAGCCCCGGCUAACUACGUGCCAGCAGCCGCGGUAAUACGUAGGGGGCAAGCGUUAUCCGGAUUUACUGGGUGUAAAGGGAGCGCAGACGGCAGUGCAAGUCUGGAGUGAAAGCCCGGGGCCCAACCCCGGAACUGCUCUGGAAACUGUGCGGCUAGAGUACUGGAGGGGCAGGCGGAAUUCCUAGUGUAGCGGUGAAAUGCGUAGAUAUUAGGAGGAACACCAGUGGCGAAGGCGGCCUGCUGGGCUUUAACUGACGCUCAGGCACGAAAGCAUGGGUAGCAAACAGGAUUAGAUACCCGGGUA